rnacentral:misc_RNA from 1 species
GAUGAAGAACGCAGCGAAAUGCGAUAAGUAAUGUGAAUUGCAGAAUUCAGUGAAUCAUCGAAUCUUUGAACGCACAUUGCGCCCGCCAGUAUUCUGGCGGGCAUGCCUGUUCGAGCGUCAUUACAACCCUCAGGCCCCCGGGCCUGGCGUUGGGGAUCGGCGGAAGCCCCCUGCGGGCACAACGCCGUCCCCCAAAUACAGUGGCGGUCCCGCCGCAGCUUCCAUUGCGUAGUAGCUAACACCUCGCAACUGGAGAGCGGCGCGGCCACGCCGUAAAACACCCAACUUCUGAAUGUUGACCUCGAAUCAGGUGGGACUACCCGCUGAACUUAAGCAUAUCAAUAAGCGGAGGA